AAUUAACCUCAAUGGAAUAAUAAACUAAAUAUAAAUGAAAUUAUUUCAAAUAUUAAGAUUUGCAGGGGAGAAUUCAAUAUUUUGGAGCUAUCUCCAUUAAAUAUGUUUAAUUUUCGAAUAGAACAAGAUUAUAUUAAGGAAAAGCAAUGCUGAAAAUCGGACUAAGAUAUUUUUUAUAUGGGAAAUUUGAAGAUUUGCACUCAAAACGUGUCUACAAAUUUGUCAUUAUUAUUUGAUAGAAUGUAUAAUAAAAAACGUUGAUGGGGUCAGUUGCAAGUAAAACAUUAAAUUUACCAGGUUAAAGUUUAUUCUGGAACAGCACAUCUAAAGGACCUAAAGCAACUGUUUCAGGCAAAUUAAAGUUAUUAAUCAAGUUAUGGAAGGCACUUCAAUAUUACCAUCAAUGAAUAUGAAGUCUGAGAAGUCUCGGCUAGAUCCACCUUGAAUUGUAAUACAUUUGAAAACAAAUAUGAAACUUGAGCUGACAACUCUUAAAUUGAAAAAAAAAAGAUUUGAAGAGCACAUUAUUGCCUCCAAUAUAAAAGCAGCCAAUGUUCCUGUAUGAAAGUGUUAUCAAAGAUAAGGAUGGAAAGGGUCAAUUUCAUUACUAUUCAAUAUCCU